AGCGAACGCUGGCGGCAGGCCUAACACAUGCAAGUCGAACGAACCCUUCGGGGUUAGUGGCGGACGGGUGAGUAACACGUGGGAACGUGCCUUUAGGUUCGGAAUAACUCAGGGAAACUUGUGCUAGUACCGAAUGUGCCCUUCGGGGGAAAGAUUUAUCGCCUUUAGAGCGGCCCGCGUCUGAUUAGCUAGUUGGUGAGGUAAUGGCUCACCAAGGCUACGAUCAGUAGCUGGUCUGAGAGGAUGACCAGCCACAGUGGGACUGAGACACGGCCCAAACUCCUACGGGAGGCAGCAGUGGGGAAUCUUGCGCAAUGGGCGAAAGCCUGACGCAGCCAUGCCGCGUGGAUGAUGAAGGUCUUAGGAUUGUAAAAUCCUUUCACCGGUGAAGAUAAUGACUGUAGCCGGAGAAGAAGCCCCGGCUAACUUCGUGCCAGCCGCCGCGGUAAUAC
rnacentral:rRNA from 1 species